GAUGAAGAACGUAGCGAAAUGCGAUAAGUAAUGUGAAUUGCAGAAUUCAGUGAAUCAUCGAAUCUUUGAACGCACAUUGCGCCCGCCAGUACUCUGGCGGGCAUGCCUGUUCGAGCGUCAUUUCAACCAUCAAGCCCCCGGCUUGUGUUGGGGACCUGCGGCUGCCGCAGGCCCUGAAAACCAGUGGCGGGCUCGCUGUCACACCGAGCGUAGUAGAUUUUCAUCUCGCUCAGGGCGUGCUGCGGGUUCCGGCCGUAAAAAGCCUUAUUUACCCAAGGUUGACCUCGGAUCAGGUAGGAAGACCCGCUGAACUUAAGCAUAUCAAUAGCGGAGGA
rnacentral:misc_RNA from 1 species